CUCUUUCCCCUAAGGUCGCUGGGCUUGGGCCAGGAAGAUGGCAAGCGGGGCAAGGUUGUCUGUCUCAACAGCGACACCAUGUGGCAGGACCAGCAACGACAGUCAAAAAUCCUGAGCACCAUGGUUUUCCGGGUUUUCUCUGCUGAAGACGAUAGUAUCCAGGAAUCUUGGAGUACCUCUGGUGGGAGUUAUCACAGGAAAGAGGACAGCAGGAAAAGAAAAGAUACAUUCUCACUGAACAUAAUGGACUUAGAAAGCAGCAAGUGUCCAAAAUUUUUGCUAUGGACAAAAUGUUAAUGAAUGUAAACCUCCCAGUGUGAAAGCUAAGCAGGCUCAUCAGGUGAUGGCAGAGAUACAAGAGAGCAGAUUCCACCUCACAAGCAAUCCUCUAAUCCCUGACUGCAUCGUGUCUAUGAACAUCCCAUUAGCCAAAGGAUAUCACAUGGCUGGGCCCAUAGUCAAAGGGUGAGUCACAGAGGAGGGAGGGUCUGCAAAGCCAAUGGGCAUAGAAAUAGGGAGGGGUGAGGAUGGCAACCAACAGAGGCAGAAAGGUGGGUGAUGGGAGAGGAGAACUAAAUUCUACCAAAGCAAAAACUAAUAGAAAAUAUUCUAUAAGAUUGAUUGGGUAGUGGUGGGUGUUUAUUAUCUAGAGAAGCAGAUUAAUACUCAGAGACGUGAAAACUGAAACAGAGUUGUUUCCUUCCAGAGAUUAGUACCAAGAUGGGGAGGGGUGGGUUAAGGUUUAUCAACUUUUCAUUUGUUGUUUGAAUUUCUAAACUCUGUACAAAUAUCGGGACGCCUGAGUGGCUCAGUUGGUUAAGUGUCUGACUUCGGCUCAGGUCACGAUCUCACAGUUUGUGAGUGUGAGCCCUGCAUCAGACUCACUGCUGUCAGCACAGAGCCAGCUUCAGAUCCUCUGCCCCCCUCUCUCUCUGCCCCUCCCCUGCUUGUAGGUGUGUACGCUCUCUUUCUCUCUCUCAAAAAUAAAUAUUAAAAAGAAAUUUAACUGUGUGUAAAU
rnacentral:lncRNA from 1 species